rnacentral:rRNA from 1 species
AUUCCAGCUCCAAUAGCGUAUAUUUAAGUUGUUGCAGUUAAAAAGCUCGUAGUUGGAUCUUGGGUCGUAAGGGUCGGUCCGCCUACUCGGUGUGCACCUGCCCUUCCGUCCCUUUUGUCGGCGGCGUGCUCCUGGCCUUAAAUGGCUGGGUCGCGGUUCCGGCGCUGUUACUUUGAAAAAAUUAGAGUGCUCAAAGCAAGCUUAUGCUCUGAAUACAUUAGCAUGGAAUAACGUGAUAGGAGUCUGGUCCUAUUGUGUUGGCCUUCGGGACCGGAGUAAUGAUUAAUAGGGACUGUCGGGGGCAUUCGUAUUUCAUUGUCAGAGGUGAAAUUCUUGGAUUUAUGAAAGACGGACCACUGCGAAAGCAUUUGCCAAGGAUGUUUUCAUCA